rnacentral:rRNA from 1 species
AUUCGAGUGGCGGACGGGUGAGUAACGCGUGAGCAAUCUGUCCCACAGAGGGGGAUAACAACUGGAAACAGUUGCUAAUACCGCAUAAGACCACACUGUCGCAUGACAGAGAGGUCAAAGGAGCAAUCCGCUGUGGGGUGAGCUCGCGUCCGAUUAGUUAGUUGGUAGAGGUAACGGCCCACCAAGACAGCGAUCGGUAGCCGACCUGAGAGGGUGAUCGGCCACAUUGGGACUGAGACACGGCCCAGACUCCUACGGGAGGCAGCAGUGGGGAAUAUUGGGCAAUGGGCGAAAGCCUGACCCAGCAACGCCGCGUGAGGGAAGAAGGUUUUCGGAUUGUAAACCUCUGUCCUAAGGGACGAGGGAAGUGACGGUACCUUAGGAGGAAGCCCCGGCUAACUACGUGCCAGCAGCCGCGGUAAUACGUAGGGGGCGAGCGUUGUCCGGAAUGACUGGGCGUAAAGGGCGUGUAGGCGGCAGUAUAAGUCCGGAGUGAAAGUCCUGCUUUCAAGGUGGGAAUUGCUUUGGAGACUGUACAGCUUGAGUGCGGAAGAGGUAAGUGGAAUUCCCAGUGUAGCGGUGAAAUGCGUAGAGAUUGGGAGGAACACCAGUGGCGAAGGCGACUUACUGGGCCGUAACUGACGCUGAGGCGCGAAAGCGUGGGGAGCGAACAGGAUUAGAUACCCUGGUAGUCCACGCGGUAAACGAUGAAUGCUAGGUGUAGGGGGUAUCGACCCCUUCUGUGCCGGAGUAAACACAAUAAGCAUUCCGCCUGGGGAGUACGGCCGCAAGGUUGAAACUCAAAGGAAUUGACGGGGGCCCGCACAAGCAGCGGAGCAUGUGGUUUAAUUCGACGCAACGCGAAGAACCUUACCAGGUCUUGACAUCGAUCCAAAGCUACAGAGAUGUAGUGUGACUUCGGUCAGGAGAAGACAGGUGGUGCAUGGUUGUCGUCAGCUCGUGUCGUGAGAUGUUGGGUUAAGUCCCGCAACGAGCGCAACCCUUAUUGUCAGUUACUAACGGGUAAGGCCGAGGACUCUGACGAGACUGCCGGGGACAACUCGGAGGAAGGUGGGGACGACGUCAAAUCGUCAUGCCCCUUAUGACCUGGGCUACACACGUGCUACAAUGGUGGUAACAAAGAGGAGCGAGCCCGUAAGGGUAAGCGGAUCUCAAAAAAGCCAUCUUAGUUCGGAUUGUGGGCUGCAACCCGCCCACAUGAAGUUGGAGUUGCUAGUAAUCGCGAAUCAGCAUGUCGCGGUGAAUACGUUCUCGGGCCUUGUACUCACCGCCCGUCA